ACACCGGCAGCCCAAGUGGUGGCCAUUUUUAUUGGGCCUAAAGCGUUCGUAGCCGGCCUGAUAAGUCUCUGGUGAAAUCCCGCAGCUUAACUGUGGGAAUUGCUGGAGAUACUAUCAGGCUUGAGGUCGGGAGAGGUUAGAGGUACUCCCAGGGUAGGGGUGAAAUCCUAUAAUCCUGGGAGGACCACCUGUGGCGAAGGCGUCUAACUGGAACGAACCUGACGGUGAGUAACGAAAGCCAGGGGCGCGAACCGGAUUAGAUACCCGGGUAGUCCUGGCCGUAAACGAUGUGGACUUGGUGUUGGGAUGGCCUCGAGCUGCCCCAGUACCGAAGGGAAGCUGUUAAGUCCACCGCCUGGGAAGUACGGUCGCAAGACUGAAACUUAAAUGAAUUGACGGGG
rnacentral:rRNA from 1 species